UGGCAGCCCAACUCCUCCCUCACUUCUGCACACCAGGUAUCCCCUCAGAGUAUCUUCUUUGUCCCCUCCUUUAGUCCAGGUCUCUUCUCUGAGGAUCUACUCACCUGGGACAGAGGAGCAGAAUUGGCUUGCUUCUGCGCCCUGAAUGCUCCCUAUGGGAAACACAGCCCUGCCACUCGCCUGAGUUCUCUUCACUUACUGAACCUUCAGGCCUGGCAGUUAACAUGAACUUGCUCCAACCCAGCCCUGAGCCAUCCUCUCCCUUCUCUCCCCUGCACUCUGGCCUUGCAUGCUGCCUCUACCACAACCCAGCCCUCUAUACCCCUGACCCUUUGCACUCUAGUCCCUGGGACUGGGCAUUCGCCUGAGCCCCUGACAGUGUUCCUCAUGGCCCUUGGCAUACAAAGGAGUCUCUUCGUGUUGGGUCUGACCUGGGGGCCCCUUGCUUGGGCCCACCAGUGGGCUCCCCUGGGUGCCCCUUGGCUUCUCCUGGUCCUCACACAGGCCUUUCCUCCUCUUCCCCUCACGCUUUAUUCUGGCACUCGCAGGUCUCCUGCUCUUUGGGUCCCCCAUCACCAUCGAUCGGGUGGGUCCCUUGCCUGGGCACCUGGCUUUGGUCCUGGCUCUCACCACUAUGCGCACCCACUCUGACCCUCUGCCAUGUUCCUGUUACCCUCUUUCUGGCCUCUUCCUUUUCCUGGCCUACUUUGUCAGAACCCUAGCCCUGGAUUCUCAUCUGAUCCAGGAUGACUUAUGGGAAAAAUGACCUGCCCCUCAUGUGGGCCCCUUGGUCUCCCUGGGUGCUUGGUCCUGCACCAAAAACCCUGAAACCUGGAGGUGGCCCUGAGCCUGGAGUCUGACUGCCCCCUGUUGGAUACCCUGCCUUCCCUCCCAAAUCUUGUCCACUCUCCUGAGCCCCCUGCCCAAGCCCUGGCCCUUGCUCUCCAUUCCCUGGAAUGGCUCCUCACUUGAGCCUCUGGUAGUGCUUCGUGCUCACUGGUUUCUGGGCAUUUCCUGAGGGCCCCUUGUUGGGUCUGCUUUCUUGUUCCCCUUGGCUUCCCUGUACUUCAGUGCCCUAGUACAGCCCCACCUUCCAGGCCUGGUGUUCCCUGCUCUCCUCUGGCCUGGGCCCUCCUCUAGUUCCCUUGCCUGGACUCCUUGCUGGGGUCCUGGUGCUGAUCCCACCCACACCCAUCCUGUGGAACUUCAGGCUGUGCCCUCCUUCGGCCCUCCUGUCCUUUCUGUCUCUGCCACGCCCGCUUUCCUGAUCCCCUUCCAGUUUCCUCACCUGGGCUAGGCUACUUGAUCUGGUCUCUUGGCCAUGGGAACUCCCUUUGGGAAAACGUAGCCCUGCCCCUUGCCUGGGCCCUUUGGCCUCCCUCACUCCAGGCCAUGUUCCUGAGCCCUGACACCCUACAGUGGACAUGGGCCUUGAGCCCUUCUCCCCCUGUAGCACCUACUCCACAUUCCCCCCUCUAUCUGCACCCCCUCCAUGUUUUCUUUCAUUCACCCAGGCAUAGGUGCAAGCACUUGGCUCUCCAUUACUGGGCCUACACCUUGCUUGAGCCCCUAGCUACCCAGAAUUCCAGAGGACCCUUUCCCUGUCUCUUUGGUUUCAGGCCCCUUUUGCUGGCCCCCUCCUGUGCCUCCCCUCUGAUCCCUUCAUGCUGUGGUAUCCUGGCACUGUCUGGACCCUCAGCUCUCCCUUCUUCUCCCUAGCCUAUGCUGCUCGAAUGGGUCCUGGCAUCGUGACCCCCCCACUUCCACACACCCAGUAUCCUCUCAUAGUACCCUCUUUGUCCCCUCCUUUGCUCUAGGUCCCUCUAUGAGGAUCUACUCACCUGGGGCAAGGAGCAGAAUUGGCUCUCCUCUUCACCCUGAAUGCUUCCUAUAGGAAACACAGCCUUGCCACUCGUCUGAGUCCCCUUCACUGCCUGAACCUUGGGGCCUGGCAAUUAACAUGGAACUUGCUCAACCCAGCCCUGAACAAUCCACUCCCUUCCCUUCCCUGCUCUCUGGACUUGCAUGCUGCCCCUACCACACCCAGCCCUCCCUAACCCUGACCCUUUGAGCUCCAGUCCCUGGGAAUGGGCAUUUACCUGAGCCCCUGACCAUGUUCCUUAUGGCCCUUGGCAAAGAAAGGAGUCUCUUCAUGUUGGAUCUGACCUGGGGAACCCUUGCUUGGGCCCACCAGUGGGCUCCCCUAGGUGCCCUUGGCUUCUCCUGGUCCUCACGCAGACCCUUCCUUCCCUUCCCCUCGUGAUUUUUUUCUGGCACUCACGGGUUCCUGAUCCUUGGGUCCCACAUACCAUGUAUUGGGUGGGUCUCUUGCCUGGGUACCUGGCUUGGGUCCUGGCUGUCACCCCUAUGUGCAUCUGCCCUGACCGUCUGCUGUUCCUUCUCGUCGCCCUCCUUCUGCCCCCCUUCCUUUUCCUGGCCUCCUUUGCCAGGACUCUGGCCAUAGAUUCUCAUCUGAUUCAGGGCGCCUUAUGGGAAACAAUGCCCUGCCUCUCCCCUGGGACCAUUGAUUUACUUGGGUGCUUGGUCCUCCAUCAGCAACCCUGAAACCUGGAGGUGGCUCUGGGCCUGGAGCCUGACUGCCCCCUGCUGAAUCCCCUGCCUUCCUUCACACAUCUUGUCCACUGUCCUGAGCCCCCUGUCCAAGCCCAGGCCCUUUGCUCUCAGCUCCCUGGCCUGGAUCCUUGCUUGAGCCUCUGGUGGCCCUUCUUGCUCACUGCUUUUCUGGGCAUUAUCUGAAGGCUCCUCGCUGGGGCUGCUUCCCUGUUCCCCUUGGCUUCCCUGUACUGCAGUAUCCUGUGCAGCCCCAUCUUCCCAGCCUAGUGUUCCCUGCUUUCACUGGCAUAGGCCCUCCUCUAGGUCCCUUGCCUGGGUUCUUUUCUGGGGUCCUGGCCCCCACUACAUGCCUAUGGCCCUUCAGGCUGUGCCCUCCUUCGACACUCCUGUCCUUUCCGUUUCUGCCAUGCCUGCUUUCCUUAUCCCCUUCCCAGGAUGCUCACCCGGGCCAAGUGACCUGACCUGGCCUCUUGGCCCUGGCAGCUCCCUUUGGGAAAACAUAGCCCUGCCCCUUGCCUGGGCCUUUUGGCCUCCCUCAGCCCUUGCCCUACUCCUGACCCCUGACACCCUGCAAUGGACCUGGGCCUUGAUCCCUUCAACCCCUAUGCCACCCAUUCCACUUUCUCCCCUCCCGCAGCUCACCCUCCAUUUUUCCUUUCAUUCUCCCAGGCCCAGGUGCUACCACUUGGCUCUCCAUUACUGGGCCUGGCUCCUUGCUUGAGCCCCUAAAUACCCUUCUCGAGGACCCUUCCCUGUCCCUUGGUUUCAGGCCCCUUUUGCCGGCCCUCUCCUCUGCCUCCCCUCUGAUCCCCUUAUGCCGUGGUAUCCUGGCAGUGUCUGGACCCUCUGCUUUCCCUGCUUCUCCCUAGCCUGCUCAAAUUGGUCCUGGCAGCCCGAUGCUCUCCCCCACUUCCGCACACAUGGAAUCCCCUCAUAGUACCCUCUUUGGCCCCUCCUUUGGUCUAGGUCCCUCUCUGAGGAUCUACUCACCUGGGGCAGAGGAGCGGAAUUGGCUGGUCUCUGUGCCCUGAAUGCUCCCUAUGAGAAACACAGCCCUGCCACUUGCCUGAGUCCCCUUCAUUGCCU
rnacentral:lncRNA from 1 species